GCGGCCCCGGGCGGUUACCGGUCUUCCAGGUUGCGCCUCCACAUCUUGCCUUGCGCGCCACCGGGGACCCGGGGUGGGAGCCCAACGAGCGCGGCUCCGGGGCGCCAGGGCGCGCGGGAACAGGAGCCGCCGCCACUUCCACCGAGAGGCGAGAGCGCGCUGUGCGCGCCGCCGCGCCUGGCCGGCGUUUCCGUGGCAACGCGGCGGGCGCCCCUGCGGUCAAGGGCAGGGCAAGGGAGACCAGACGGCAUUGGGCAGAGGGACCACCAAGCAUCCUCCUUCGGUGCUGCUCUGUAGCCCUCCCGGGCCGCUGGAAGUACAGGGGAAAACAACACACCAGUAACCGGAAGGGGGACGUGAAAGUAAAGGCCCUCGGGGGAUGUCCAAGUUCAGAACAUCUGGAAACGCUGCCAAGGAUAUGGCACAGCUGCAGUGGUGUGCAACACCUGCAUGUGUGCAGUGCAGCUGGCUAGUGCAUGCUUUACUCAUGCCCACCCUGCAAAGUGACCUUCUCCACCCAGCCUUCUCCAUCGCUGUCACUCACAGCUAAGUACCUGCUGCUCAAACCGUCAGGUGCCAACAAUGUGGGUAGUUCUGCCCUGACUAAGCCUUCUGAGGAUGAGAACACACCGGCGGAAGCACUGCCCCCUAAACUUCUGGAUUUGGAGGCUGCAGAUUCACACAACCCUCUCUGAUAGCAAAAUUAUUGUUCCGUGACUUGCAAGCUACAAAAGGAAACAAAAAUAGGAUUAUACAUAUGUAAUUGCAAUUGAUAAAAUAUUUACUGUGGCCUGAAAGACAUCUUUGCUCUCCUUUAUUUUCUUGCAUGGUGCCUUUUGGGUGAUAUAGAAGUCUUUUUUACUGCCUUAAGAAAGGCUAGUAGCCAGCAAUAAAUUAUUUGUCAUAGCUUUGGCCUUCUGA